rnacentral:rRNA from 1 species
AAUUUUGGACAAUGGGGGAAACCCUGAUCCAGCGAUCUCGCGUGUAUGAUGAAGGCCUUCGCGUUUUAAAGUACUUUUGGCAGAGAAGAAAAGGUACCUCCUAAUACGAGGUACUGCUGACGGUAUCUGCAGAAUAAGCACCGGCUAACUACGUGCCAGCAGCCGCGGUAAUACGUAGGUUGCAAGCGUUAAUCGGAAUUAGUGGGCGUAAAGCGUGUCUAGGCGGUUCGGAAAGAAAAAUGUAAAAUCCCAGGGCUCAACCUUGGAACUGCAUUUUUAACUGCCGAGCUAGAGUAUGUCAGAGGAGGGUAGAAUUCAACGUGUAGCAGUGAAAUGCGUAGAUAUGUGGAGGAAUACCGAUGGCGAAGGCAGCCCCCUGGGAUAAUACUGACGCUCAGACACGAAAGCGUGGGGAGCAAACAG